rnacentral:misc_RNA from 1 species
GAUGAAGAACGUAGCGAAAUGCGAUACUUGGUGUGAAUUGCAGAAUCCCGUGAACCAUCGAGUCUUUGAACGCAAGUUGCGCCCGAAGCCAUUAGGCCGAGGGCACGCCUGCCUGGGCGUCACACGUCGUUGCCCCCCCAUCUACUCCUUCGGGAUUGCGGGGGGCGGAUGAUGGCCUCCCGUGCGCCUCGUCGCGCGGUUGGCAUAAAUGCCAAGUCCUCGGCGACGCACGCCACGACAAUCGGUGGUUGCGAAACCUCGGUUGCCCGUCGUGUGCGGUCGUCGCGCAUCGAGGGCUCGAAAAAAUUGCCGGGCUCCGGCUCGGCUUUCAACGCGACCCCAGGUCAGGCGGGGUUACCCGCUGAAUUUAAGCAUAUCAAUACGGAGGA